GGGACUAACGCUGGCGGCGUGCCUAACACAUGCAAGUCGAACGAGGGUAGCAAUACCCUAGUGGCAGACGGGUGAGUAACACGUGGUCAACCUACCUCUUAAUGGGGGAUAACUAGCCGAAAGGUUAGCUAAUACCGCAUACGAUCGUCGAGUGGCAUCAUACGACGAUGAAAGGAGCAAUCCGUUGAGAGAGGGGACUGCGUCCCAUUAGUUAGUUGGUGGGGUAAUGGCCUACCAAGACUCCGAUGGGUAGCUGGCUUGAGAGGGCGACCGGCCACGACUGGGACUGAGACACGGCCCAGACUCCUACGGGAGGCAGCAGUGGGGAAUCUUGCACAAUGGGCGAAAGCCUGAUGCAGCGACGCCGCGUGAGGGAUGACGGCCUUCGGGGUUGUAAACCUCUUUCGGCAGGGACGAAGCGCAAGUGACGGUACCUGCAGAAGAGCACCGGCUAACUCGUGCCAGCAGCCGC
rnacentral:rRNA from 1 species